UACGAAUAAUGACACUGCCACAGGCUUUCCAAACUUCUGCAGAAAAACGCAAGUUACGAUACGCGUGUGAUUCGGUUUUCUAAAAUACCAGAUAGGGUGGUCACGUAGGGUUUAUUUAUUCCAGAAUUAGUAGAAACAAAUUCUUCUAAACUCUGUGUAACGUUUAGACUGAUUAAAAAUUGAAACUACUGGCCUUGACAUUGGACUAUAAUUUUGAGCGGAGCGUCAUCGACGUAGUGAUGGUGAUGUUGAGGCGUCUGUGGAAACAGGAGGAAGAUUUUAUCGUAUCAGGGCCACACCUUUGCGUAUUGCUGUCAUAUUUGAGAGGGAAUCCAGCCAAGAAAGACAGAUACACCAGGGACUUCUUUACAGAUGGAUAAGUUGUCCAGAAAAAGCGAGAACAUUCAAACAACCAGGAAUUGCAUCAUCGCAAUUACAAACCUUGAUUUUUGAGUCCACACCAGCUUCCGCAAUCUGACAAAGGAGAGAAUUUAUGGGAAGGAUCCAUGGGUAACCGACGACGAGGAAUUACAAGAUGUGAAGGAUUUCCACUAAUUUGAAUUAAACUAAUUUGAAUGAGUUCCUUACAUAUGAAAAAAUUACCAUUUUUUGCCUGUUUCCAAAUAUGUGCAAGAAGCAUACAGGGAUUGAAAGCUGAGAAAGAGACAAAAAUUCCUUUUCAAUGUUACAUAUUAUAUAUAGUUAUGUAUGACAGUGAGGCUAUCAACAGUGCAAUAAUGAUAAACAUGUGAAGUGUUUGCUAAUAAAACAUGAUAAA